rnacentral:rRNA from 1 species
AUUGAACGCUGGCGGCAGGCCUAACACAUGCAAGUCGAACGAGUGGCGGACGGGUGAGUAAUGUCUGGGAAACUGCCUGAUGGAGGGGGAUAACUACUGGAAACGGUAGCUAAUACCGCAUACCCUCAGAUGUGCCCAGAUGGGAUUAGCUUGUUGGUGGGGUAACGGCUCACCAAGGCGACGAUCCCUAGCUGGUCUGAGAGGAUGACCAGCCACACUGGAACUGAGACACAGUCCAUCCUCCACCGGGAGCAAGCAGUGGGGAAUAGUGCACAAUGGGCGCAAUCCGUCUGCAGCCAUGCCGCGUGUAUGAAGAAGGCCUUCGGGUUGUAAAGUACUUUCAGCGGGGCGGCGUUACCCGCAGAAGAAGCACCGGCUAACUCCGUGCCAGCAGCCGCGGUAAUUC